rnacentral:tRNA from 1 species
GGGUUCAAUAAGCGUUGGUCAAUCUCGAUCAACGUCGACUUGUUCGCAUUCGCAAUGCGAAGGUCGGGAGUUCGAUCCUCCUCCUCCCACCA